rnacentral:rRNA from 1 species
GACGAACGCUGGCGGCCGGCCUAACACAUGCAAGUCGUGCGGAGCGGCGGACGGGUGAGUAAUGCCUAGGAAUCUGCCUGGUAGUGGGGGAUAACGUUCGCAAACGGGCGCUAAUACCGCAUACUAUCAGAUGAGCCUAGGUCGGAUUAGCUAGUUGGUUGGGUAAAGGCCUACCAAGGCGACGAUCCGUAACUGGUCUGAGAGGAUGAGCAGUCAGACUGGAACUGAGACACGGCCCAGCCUCCUAGGGGUGGCAGCAGUGGGAAAUAUUGGACAAUGGUCGCAAGCCGGAUCCAACCAUGCCGCGUGUGUGAAGAAGGUCUUCGGAUUGUAAAGCAGGUAAAGUUGGGAGGCGGUACCAGCAGAAGAAGCACCGGCUAACGUCGUGCCAGCAGCCGCGGUAAUAC